CAAACAGCCAACACUCCCAAAUAGAGAUAUUUCUUCUCCGAAAUGAUCAAGAUAAGAGGUUUGAAAUUUAUUCAUUUGGUAGUUUGAAGUGAAUUUGUUUACAAAUAAAAAGCCAUUAAUCAUUUCUGAGGAGUAAGGAAGGAAAUUAAUAUUUAUUAUCUGCUAAGUGCCAAUCAUGCUUUCAGAACUGGAGGCCUUUGUAACUAACACUCUUUUCUUACCUACUCUACUCUUCUCACCUUAGAGUCAAGUCUUUCAGGGUGCACCAAUUAUGGCGUUAAGGCAUCUGAAAUUUCAAAGGCCCUAAAUCCCCACAGUUUCAUACUUUUCUGUGGCUACAGUGUACACUAAGCCAGUAAGAAGCAGUCAUUUCAUAUUUAGACCUUUGUACUAAUCAGAAGAAAUUAUACUCAAACAGGUUAAGACAGUACUUAAAGUGUGAGCCCAGACCACUGCCAUCAAACUGCAGAGUGUAGGUGCUUAAAAUAAAGAUUUCUAAAUGUCACCUUAGCCACACUAAUGCAAAACCUUUGAAACUAGGGUCUACAAAGCUGUAUUUUAACAAACACUUAGAGUAUUCUAAAGUACAAAAUAAAUGACUCGGGGGUUCAUGCAGAUACAACUUUGUAAGGACAAGAUCCCCAAUGAGUUGCCUGAGGGGUCCCUUACUGAACAUUCUGAAAGUGGAGUGCUUGGACCCAUGGCCAACACUCAUGCCAGUAACCUUCAUAGUUGUUGUGCUUCAAGGAACCAAAGGAACCAAAUUAUAGUCAAUUGUAAGCAAGUUUCACUAUGAGUCUUGCCAAGCAACAUACUUUGCUCUUCUCUCAUCUCCUAGAGUACAAAGAAGGAGCAAAAAUGCAAUCUAUAAAAUCAUGUUUCAGUUUUUGUUUCUGUCUUAAUCUGUUUAUGCAACUAUAACAAAAUACCACAGAUUAGUUAUAAACCAUAGAAAUUGCUUUCUCAUAGUUGGGCAGGCUGGAAGUCUAAGAUCAAAAUGCUGCCAAGUUCAGGGUCUAGUAAGGUCCCAGCCAGUCUCUCUGUUUCUAUGAUGAUGCCUUAUUGCUGUGAUUUCACAUGGUAGAAGGAUGAAAAGGCAAGAGAUCAAACUCCCCUUGUAGCCUCUUUUAUAAGGGCAUUAAUCCAUUCAUGAGAGCAGAGACUCUUAUGAUUUAAUCACUUCCCAAAUGGGCCUACCACUUAAUAACACCAAAAUCAGGAUAAAGAUUCAACAUAAAUUUUGAAGGAGACUCACAUGUAACCCACAGCAGUUUCCAACUCCCUUGGACUUAUUUUAUACUUUUCUUCUCAUUAAAUAUCAGCAUAAAUAGAGAAGAAUAUGUAGGUGUACACGUACAUAUAUAUACCUUCAUAUUGGUUGUGGCCUGUGAUAAGUCAAGUUUGGAUGUUCAAGACUUAGAGAUUAUUUUUGAUAGAUUUCUGAAGCCACCAGUAGGAACUAAAUGAACAUUAUACACAUUAAGCACUACUUACUUAAUAGAAGGUUGUAAUGAAAGAAAUGUGUAGAUCAAAUUCUAGCUGCAUGUACAAACCUUUAUUUAUAAGCAGAUGAAACCAUCAUAGAUAAUAUUUCAGAAACAUAAAUUAGCUGUUUGUCAGAAUAAAAUGACCACAAAAAUCUUCAAAGCAACAUCUUGACAAGAAAUGUUUAGAGAACAAAUUUACAAUGCAAUUUAAAACUACAAAGUUUACUGUAUUUGUAUGUCCUGUUUAUAAUGAACAUAUAUUGGAUACAACUAAUUUCAAGAACCUGUUGCUAGCAUCCAUUAUAGCAUUUGCAAAUCUUCUAGUAUUGAUGGAGAUAAAUAAAGUUGAAACAAUUAAAAUAGCCAUCUCUGGUCUUGCAGAUUAAAUGCCAGCUGACCACCCUUGAAAUGGGAAUUUCUGAAGUAGACUACUGACUGAUUGUUAAGCUUGAAAUAACAUAUUCCAAAUAUCAGACCCUCAGUGAAAUUUGGAACCAUCAUCCACUGCAAAAAAGAAAUUUGCUUUCUUCUUUAAAAGGAUCAGCAACAUUAUCAGAAGAGUCAAAGU
rnacentral:lncRNA from 1 species